AGUGAACGCUGGCGGCAGGCCUAACACAUGCAAGUCGAGCGGCAGCGGGUCCUUCGGGAUGCCGGCGAGCGGCGGACGGGUGAGGAAUACAUCGGAAUCUGCCCUGUCGUGGGGGAUAACCUAGGGAAACUUAGGCUAAUACCGCAUACGACCUACGGUUGAAAGCGGGGGAUCGCAAGACCUCGCGCGACAGGAUGAGCCGAUGUCCGAUUAGCUAGUUGGCGGGGUAAAGGCCCACCAAGGCGACGAUCGGUAGCUGGUCUGAGAGGAUGAUCAGCCACACUGGGACUGAGACACGGCCCAGACUCCUACGGGAGGCAGCAGUGGGGAAUAUUGGACAAUGGGCGCAAGCCUGAUCCAGCAAUGCCGCGUGGGUGAAGAAGGCCUUCGGGUUGUAAAGCCCUUUUGUCCGGGAAGAAAUCGUCUGGGCUAAUCCCCCGGGCGGAUGACGGUACCGGAAGAAUAAGCACCGGCUAACUUCGUG
rnacentral:rRNA from 1 species